rnacentral:tRNA from 1 species
GGAGGGAUGGCUGAGCGGUCGAAAGCGGCGGUCUUGAAAACCGUUGAGUGUAACAGCUCCGUGGGUUCGAAUCCUACUCCCUCCGCCA